AUAGACACAAGCAAACAAUACUCCAGCAAUGUAAAGGAAGCAAAAGCAAGCUUAAACCAAAAAAGAAACUUAGAAAUCAAAUAAAAACGAACCUGGACAAAAAAUAUUACAUUUAAUUCACUUCAACGCAAUUUAAAUAUGGAUCUACUUAAAUCUACCCAAAAAGGAAAGUAUCAAAACCCACAAAUAGAAUCAGAAAAGAAAAAUGUAAAUUUCUCUCAGAUCAGAAACAUGGACAAAAAUUCUAGUGUUAAAAGAAGGAUUUGACAUCAAAUCAAUUUAGAUGCAAUUGCCCUAAAUGUGCACUUUAGGAAAUAGGCAGAAUUUCUUUUAUCUCCUAAUCUGGAUUCGACCAAAUUCAAAAUUCAAAAUUCAAAUUGAUUCCCAUAAAUUACUGCAAUUAAUUGAGAUAGGUAAGGCAAUAUAGAUGAAAAAGGAAGCAUAUCACAAUUUCGGCCAAAUCAAGAU
rnacentral:lncRNA from 1 species